UUCUUCCCUCAAGCAAAAUCUCCUCCUAAAAAUGUCCCAGCCGUCGGAGGCUCCUGGCUCGAACCCUCCAGUAAACAAUUUUCACUGUGGGUGCUGAGAAGGCGCUGGGAAUUUUCCCUGCGAGUGCCAUGCCAUCCUUCCCUUCCCACUCAAAAGGCGCUCAGGAUGUGCAGAGGAUGGCUGACAGGGAAGCCUCUCUGCUGUCCCUGGACAGAAAGGAGACCAGGAGCCCCAGCACAGACUUUUGGAAGCUCUUACCUGCUGGGAGGAAACUUUCCAAGUUCAAGGGAUCACCUGCUGGGACAGCGUAACAGCCCCAUUCAGAAGAUGCACUGGAAAAAAGAAAUCUGAACCUGAAGAGGGAAGACUGUACCAAGCAAGACCCAAGCUGGUCCUGUGAUCUAACAAGUCCUGAAGUCUUAAAGAAAAGCACCAGGAACUGCAGUGGAGGAGGAUCAAUCAUCUGAUCUAUGGAGGUCCAUGCCAGAGAUCACACCAGCCACAGCCCAGCAAACAUCCCUGCCUUCUUGGCACUUUCCAACCAAGGCCCUUGCAAAGUUCCAAUAACCACCACUACUGAGACUAGUUCAGUGCUUUCUGUUGAUACAGGAAAAAAAAUGGGAGAUUUAGCUCCCAGCACUGGGAACUCCCUUAAUUCAGUACUAUAUAUAGAGGUAUUACACAGAGAAAGUUGAAAUGUAGAAAUAAGGAGUUCUGGAGUUUGCUAAAAGCUAAGGGAGAACCUAAACUUUGAAAGAAAACCAUUAGCAAUAGCAGAUUUGCAAGUUCAGCUGUGGGAAGGACCACAAAAUCCAAGCACAUGCUAUAUAUCUUCUUUUUAUUGACUGCUUUGUGGGGAGCUGCAUUUCUUGCUGGAGUUGGGAGCUACAGCCUGCACUCUGUGUUGAUUCUGAUUAUAGAGUGCUGGUAAUUAAACCUCUGGAGCAUUAAGUUGCCAUUUUAACCAAAUGCCUGCAUUUUAUCUUGAUGGGAAAUUGAGAGUGAGACUCAGAUUUUCACAGUAAAUAAAAACUGUUGGCUGUUUCACAGAUAAUCCGUUUCCUCAGCUUAUGUAUGAGAAAAUCCUCCCGUACGCUUCCCUCUACCCUUUUGCAAAGGCACACGCUCCUUGAGGAAGCUCAGCAGCAGCACUGCCAGCUUCUGCACGCUGCUCAGCUUGUAAAAUAAUAAUUAUAAUCAUAAUGUGCCUCCUUAAUGACACUUUUAAUCCAGAGACCAGCGCCCUUAUCUCCAUGUGAGCAAACAGAAGCACGCAAAAUUUUGCUCCAGUGAUAUAAAUGGCCAAGGUCAAAGUCAGGAGCGAGCCAGCACCCAGGCUCAGUCUAUCAGCAAUAUCCACUGCCUGGCUCUGAGGUGACGCUCUUAUCUACAAACAGAUAGGCAAGGUGCAAAUCUACUUAUUCCUGGACUGGGUUCUCUGCUGACAGGCACAGAUCUGCCACUGCACACCUGUAGCUUAGCAAUUGGGCAAAUACAGCCAUUUCAGGUUAUUCUCACUGUGUACCACCCUGAACAAGCAACUGAAACAGGUAAAUCCCUGAAACGCACUUGUAUUGCAAUUAACAGCACUGCUGCUGGAGUAAGACCCAGAUGCUCAGCAAAAGGCUGUGAUGCUGCAGCGUGAGCUGGCUCCUUCCGUGCAGGCAGGGCAUUAAGUGCUCUGGGAGAUCAGUUAUUCUGAUAAUAAACAGUUGCCUGUGCAGAGGAUUGGGCUCAGCCGCUCUCAAAGCGCAGCCGUUGCCACAGAGGCUUUUCAUCCCCUGCUCUCAGAGUAAAGUGCAUCCUCCCUGCCCACAGCAGCAGCAGCAGGUUUACCACAGAACACUUGCAGGAUUUGCUGUCUGCAGAGGCAGCUGUUACUCACGGGUUGCUCCUCAUGCAGAGGCGCUGGGAUGGCAGAGCGAGGAGCUGGAGCUGCUGGAGGUGCCCAUCUGUGUGUGCCACCCGAGGCCAAGGACAGCCCCAGGGCUCCCUCAGGGCUGUGUUUUCAGCAGUCCUGCAGAUCUGCAGGUCCACUCGCCACGUUAGAGCAGCAGGAGCUGCGCCUUGCUGGGUACCAGAGCCUGAGCUGCAUCACUCCAUCAUCACUGCCCUGCAGCCACCUGUUGAGAGGAAACGCUGGCUGGCACAGUCAGGGCUGCAGGGACACCAACACCUCUGCAGACCCCAGGGGAGCUCCUGCCUGCACAGCCCCCUCGGGAGGAGAUGCCUCAAGCACACAGAG